AUGGCGUCGCGCAGGCGAAUGCUCCUCAAGGUCAUCAUCCUCGGCGACAGCGGGGUCGGGAAGACGUCGCUGAUGAACCAGUACGUCAACAACAAGUUCAGCAACCAGUACAAGGCCACCAUCGGCGCCGAUUUCCUCACCAAGGAGGUCAAGAUCGACGACCGCCUCUUCACUCUACAGAUAUGGGACACGGCUGGACAGGAACGUUUUCAGAGUCUCGGUGUGGCGUUUUACCGGGGAGCUGACUGUUGUGUUCUUGUAUAUGAUGUCAAUGUUACCAAGUCGUUUGAAAAACUCAACAACUGGCGUGAGGAAUUUCUAAUUCAAGCUAGCCCAUCAGAUCCAGAGAAUUUCCCUUUUGUUUUACUUGGAAACAAGAUUGAUGUUGAUGGUGGUAACAGCAGGACUGUUUCUGAGAAAAAGGCUAAAGCUUGGUGUGCUUCCAAGGGAAACAUCCCUUAUUUUGAGACGUCUGCUAAAGAAGGCUUCAAUGUGGAAGCAGCUUUCGAGUGUAUAGCAAGGAAUGCUAUCAAGAAUGAACCUGAAGAAGAUAUGUAA
rnacentral:rRNA from 1 species